GGUGGCUCAGUGGUAGAGCGCUUGUCUUGCAGGCACGAGGCCCUGGGUUCGAUUCCUCAGUACCA
rnacentral:tRNA from 1 species